rnacentral:lncRNA from 1 species
UAGGAUUUCAACAUAGGAAUUUUUUUAGCGGAGGGACACAAACAUUUAGACCAUAGCAAUGCACACCCCUUCCCUCUCAUUGUUGGACCAAUCUUGCGUAGAUUCCACUCUAGUCACUUUCAGUUAUGCAAACAGUCUCAUUUAGGCAAUUAUAACUCAUUUUUGGGUUUUAGAAGAUUCAGCUCAGCUUAAUAUCAAAACAGCAAUCCCACGUCCAGGGGACCUACACUGUUGGAAGAGUCUCUCCCUCUUUUUCAAUUAGUUGAAGAGACGCGAGUCUUUUGCCACUGGUGCUGCUAUUGUUCUAUCCUGGCCACUCUCUUAGGCAGGUCCCAUGAAGACAGCUUGAGCAUGCUUACCUUCCGUUGCAUCUGUGAGUCGGUGGGAAGCACUUGCAUCCUCGCCACCCAGAAGUCUAGAUUGCUCCAGUUCAGCUCUCUCUUUACCUUCAUGGCAAAUGGCUGCACCUGGCCUCCUGCUUGCUAUAGUCACCAGCUGCAAAACAAAUAUAGAAAAGCAAGGCCUGAGGUCAUGCUAUGCAAACCAACCCCUGGGAUCCAUCUGGUCCAACAACCUCAGCUCAUUGAGAAAAGGUAUAGCUGGCCUGCAAAGCAUAGAAGAGCUGGACUUGAAUCAGUGGAGCACAACCUUCUCUGUAGACUCGAAUCACCAAGAAGUUUCAAAAAAUACGGAUAGCAGGGUCAUCUCCCCAAAGAUGAUUAUUUAAUUGGUCCAGAGUAUGACUUGGUCUUCGGGAUCUUAUAAAAACUACUUAUGAUGCUAAUGUGCAUCCAAGGUUGAAAACCACUGGCCUAGAUGAUUUUUAAGGUAAUUUCAAUCUUAAUAUUCUAU